UACGGGGGGAGCAAGCGUUGUUCGGAUUUACUGGGCGUAAAGGGCGCGUAGGCGGCAAUUCAAGUCAUCUGUGAAAUCUCUGGGCUUAACUCGGAAUGGUCAGGUGAUACUGCUUUGCUAGAGUGCAGAAGGGGCAAUCGGAAUUCUUGGUGUAGCGGUGAAAUGCGUAGAUAUCAAGAGGAACACCUGAGGUGAAGACGGGUUGCUGGGCUGACACUGACGCUGAGGCGCGAAAGCUAGGGGAGCAAACGGG
rnacentral:rRNA from 1 species